GACGAACGCUGGCGGCGUGCUUAACACAUGCAAGUCGAACGGAAAGGCCUGCUUUCCCUUGUGGAUUGCGGGUACUCGAGUGGCGAACGGGUGAGUAACACGUGAGUGAUCUGCCCCCAACUUGGGUAUAAGCCUGGGAAACUGGGUCUAAUUCCCGAUAGGACUGCAGGGUGGUGCCUGUGGUGGAAAACGAUUUUCUAGUGGUUGGGGGUGAGCUCGCGGCCUAUCAGCUUGUUGGUGGGGUAAUGGCCUACCAAGGCGGCGACGGGUAGCCGGCCUGAGAGGGUGGACGGCCACAUUGGGACUGAGAUACGGCCCAGACUCCUACGGGAGGCAGCAGUGGGGAAUAUUGCACAGUGGGCGGAAGCCUGAUGCAGCGACGCCGCGUGGGGGAUGACGGCCUUCGGGUUGUAAACUCCUUUCGACCGCGAGGAAGCCACCUGGUUGGAAGGGUGGUGACGGUAGUGGUAGAAGAAGCACCGGCUAACUACGUG
rnacentral:rRNA from 1 species